rnacentral:rRNA from 1 species
CCCUUAGAUGUUCUGGGCCGCACGCGUGCUACACUGAGUGGAUCAGCGGGUCAGGUUGCGCGAAAGUGUUUCCUAAUCUUGAAAUCCGCUCGUGAUGGGGAUUGACGGUUGCAAUUUUCCGUCAUGAACGAGGAAUACCUUGUAAGCGCGGGUCAUCAUCCCGCGCUGAGUACGUCCCUGCCCUUUGUACACACCGCCCGUCGCUCCUACCGAUUGAGUGGUCCGGUGAGGCUUUGGGAUCUGAGCAAAGAGAGCGUUUCGCUCGUUUUGCCCGGAAAACUCAGUCGAACCUUAUCAUUUAGAGGAAGGAGAAGUCGUAACA